AUGCAGGUCAGGAGUGCUGCGGGGACCAUGGUGAGAAUGAAAACAAAAGGUAUGUUUCAAAUAAGCCAGCUAUAAAGUAUUGUGCUAAAUGUGUAUUGUACUGCUGUUUUAUAUAAGGAAUCAUACUAAAUUAAAUAUGAAAUGUAUAUUAUAAAUAAUAAUUUAAGGAAUCAUACUGCAGUGAGGACCAAUGAUGAGAGGCUGUGGGACAGUGAUGUUGGCUGGAUGCUGGUAGGUGGAGGAGCAGUCAUGUUUGCUGGGUUCUGGUAGGUGGAGGAUUAGUGUUGGCUGAGUGCUGGUAGGUGGAGGAUUAGUGUUGGCUGGGUGCUGGUAGGUGGAGGAUCAGUGUUGGCUGGGUGCUGGUAGGUGGAUGUUGAAGCUUGGCUACUGUUGGUCCUUUUCAUCUUUUUAGAUUGGCUCUUGCUUCCAAGAUGUCCAUCUUUUAAGUGUUGUUUUUUUCUGUCAUUUCGUAUUUUUUUAGCCUCAAUCCUCAACCUCAGCCAUAUAAAUCUUUUGGAGAUUUUUUCUUCUACUCCACAGCAUGAUGGAAGCCUGCUGGAGAGUGACUGAGCUUCUUUCUCCAAGACAUCCACUGCAUUGGGGAGCUCCAUGAGGAUUGUCAUCAGUGUGCCGUAUUGCAGUUUUGCAUUUUCCACAGAUGCUGGCAAAUCUGAUUAAUUUGUGGACAAUGUAGCCUGCAAGAUGGAAGAGAAUACAUUUCUCAGUUUUGGAAGUCUGCCAAAAAGCUACUGUCAUAUUCCUGGUAGCUCCCAGACCUGAUGGUGGUGAGGAACUGCCCUACUGAUAUAAUUCUCAGUGCAUGAUAGAAUUCCACUGGAGUUGGUAUGGGAUUUUUAGACCUCACACAGCUGAAUGUAUUUUCAAGGCAGUCUUGUGUGAACCUUGAAGUUAACACAAACCUGUGUCCUCGUGUCAGCAUCUCUUCCUGUAUGCCCAAAACUGAUUUUGUUGCCAUUAUCACCCCUUUUUGAACAGGUUUCCAAACUCCCUUAUGACCAAUCUUCAUCCCAUGGAACAGAUGGAUGAUAUCCUGUAGGAAGAUGAUGGCCUUUUCAUACUCCUCUAUCUUGACCCUGCUCAGUGCUGUAAUUGGAUGGCGAGAUGACAUUAGAUCAAACCAAUGAUCCACUUACUCCAGGAACCAUGCUGUAGUCAGGUAGGAGAGAGGGCGGUUUUCUUGCUGCACCAUAUACUUCAGCCCAGCAAUUGUUGCCUUACUAAAAACAUUAAGAGCAGGACCAACCUUCAUUUUUUCAAAGUGGCUUGGCUCUAUGGCUGCAGCUGAUAGAUGGGGAGCCACUUUUAAUGCCAUCCCUUCUUGAAAGGACAAUAAGUCCUUAAUAGGGACCACUGAAACCUUGUUGGAAUGUAGGUUCUCUUUGUUAACCACAUUCUCUGGAAUUGUUAACACCUGUCCACGGACAAGGGCACUUUUUAGAUUUUUUACCAGAUGUGGGACAUCAGGCAUGAAAUAGAGAUUACUACCUGGUGUUGUUGGAUGUGGCACAGAUUAGGGCUACCCAUAUCGGUGGUGACAGCAAGCACAUGUAGCCCUAUGGAUGCUGCCCUCUCUCUUAUUUAGGUAAUUAUUGGCUUGUACUCUGCUCCAUUGGUAGAAUUACCGCUGUAAUGAUAUGCCACUACUUGUUUCCACCGAGUGGUGUUUCCAGCCAACAUAAACACACAAGCAUGUGUUGCUACUCCUGUGUGACCUGGCAAAGUGACAUCACCAUAGAGUUUGCCUGUGAGCAUGUGCAGCUCCACACUUGGAGUGAUUGCCAUUUCAUCCAAGGACAGCACACACUCCCUUUCAAGGUCUGCCAAUCCAUCUACCUUCAGUUUUAAAAAAUCAAA